ensembl:snRNA U2 U2 spliceosomal RNA
AUCGCUUCUCGGCCUUUUGGCUAAGAUCAAGUGUAGUAACAAUUGUCUGCAUGCAGAAUGAAUAUGCUUUAAAUGAGCCAUUCAGUGCUUUUUUCCUGCACUUAUUUCCAGUACUGAGCAGCAGCAUGACAGCCUAGAAAUCCUCCUGCCUUUGCAUCAAGACUG